UACGAAGGGGGGCUAGCGUUGCUCGGAAUUACUGGGCGUAAAGGGCGCGUAGGCGGCACUGUUAGUCAGGCGUGAAAGUCCUGGGCUCAACCUGGGGAACUGCGCUUGAUACGGCAGAGCUAGAGGAUGGAAGAGGCUCGCGGAAUUCCCAGUGUAGAGGUGAAAUUCGUAGAUAUUGGGAAGAACACCGGUGGCGAAGGCGGCUUACUGGUCCAUAACUGACGCUGAGGUGCGAAAGCGUGGGGAGCAAACAGG
rnacentral:rRNA from 1 species